rnacentral:rRNA from 1 species
UUCCUUACCGAGGAUCAAUUGGAGGGCAAGUGUGGUACCAGCAGCCGCGGUAAUUCCAGCUCCCAUAGCGUAUAUUAAAGUUGUUGCAGUUAAAAAGCUCGUUGGUGGAUUUCUGGUUUGAGCCUCCGGUCCCGCUCUUACCGGGCGCGUACUAUGGAUGUUUGGGCCAUUUUUUGUGAGGAUGCCUUUCUGCCAUUAAGUUGGUGGUUGGGUGGACUUGCAUCGUUUUCUGUGAAAAAAUUAGAGUGUUUAAAGCAGGCGUUUGCUCAUUUGAAUACAUUAGCAUGGAAUAAUAAGAUACGACUUUGGUGGUCUAUUUUGUUGGUUUGCACGCCAGAGUAAUGAUUAAUAGGGACAGUUGGGGGUAUUCAUAUUUCAGCGUCAGAGGUGAAAUUCCUGGAUCGCUGAAAGAUGAGCUUAGGCGAAAGCAUUUACCACAGGAUGUUUUCCUUAAUCAAGAACGAAAGUUAGGUGAUCGAAGAUGAUUAGAUACCAUCGUAGUCUUAACCAUAAACUAUGCCGGCUCGGGAUUCGCAGUCGUUUAAUUUGAAUGAGCUUGUCAGCUCUCGUAUGAGAAAUCAAAGUCUCUUGGGUUCCGGCGGGAGUAUGGUCGCAAGGCUGAAACUUCAAGGAAUUGUCGGAAGGGCCAC